rnacentral:rRNA from 1 species
GACGAACGCUGGCGGCGUGCUUAACACAUGCAAGUCGAACGGAAAGGCCCGGCCUAUGUGCGGUGCUCGAGUUGCGAACGGGUGAGUAACACGUGGGUAACCUGUCCUUGACUUUGGGAUAACUUAAGGCAACUGGGUCUAAUACCGGAUAGGAGUUCCCGCUUCAUGGUGGGGGUUGGUAAGUUUCGGCGGUUGGUGAUGGAAUAGCGGCCCAUCGGGUUGGUGGGUGGGUAGUGGCUUACCAAGGCAUUGACCGGUAGCCGGCCUGAGCGGCUCACCGGCUACACUGGGACGGGGAUGCGGCCCAGCCUCCUACGGGAGGCAGCGGUGGGGAAUAUUGCACAAUGGGCGGAAGCAUGAUGCAGCCAAGCAGCGUGGGGGAUGACGGCCUUCGGGUAGUGAUGCGCUGUUGCCUGUGACGAAGCGAGAAUGACGGUAAUGGGUAAAGAAGCACCGGCUAACUACGUG